rnacentral:rRNA from 1 species
GAUGAACGCUGGCGGCGUGCCUAAUACAUGCAAGUCGAGCGAACAGACGAGGAGCUUGCUCCUCUGACGUUAGCGGCGGACGGGUGAGUAACACGUGGAUAACCUACCUAUAAGACUGGGAUAACUUCGGGAAACCGGAGAUAAUACCGGAUAAUAUAUUGAACCGCAUGGUUCAAUAGUGAAAGACGGUUUUGCUGUCACUUAUAGAUGGAUCCGCGCCGCAUUAGCUAGUUGGUAAGGUAACGGCUUACCAAGGCAACGAUGCGUAGCCGACCUGAGAGGGUGAUCGGCCACACUGGAACUGAGACACGGUCCAGGCUCCUGCGAGAGGCAGCAGUAGGGAAUCUUCCGCAAUGGGCGAAAGCCUGACGGAGCAACGCCGCGUGAGUGAUGAAGAUCUUCGGAUCGUAAAACUCUGUUAUUGGGGAAGAACAAAUGUGUAAGUAACUAUGCACGUCGUGACGGUACCUAAUCAGAAAGCCACGGCUAACUACGUG